rnacentral:rRNA from 1 species
CGCGAUGACGCUGGCGGCAUGCCUUACACAUGCAAGUCGAACGGCAGCACGGGGGCAAUCCUGGUGGCGAGUGGCGAACGGGUGAGUAAUACAUCGGAACGUGUCCUGUAGUGGGGGAUAGCCCGGCGAAAGCCGGAUUAAUACCGCAUACGCUCUACGGAGGAAAGGGGGGGAUCUUAGGACCUCCCGCUACAGGGGCGGCCGAUGGCAGAUUAGCUAGUUGGUGGGGUAAAGGCCUACCAAGGCGACGAUCUGUAGCUGGUCUGAGAGGACGACCAGCCACACUGGGACUGAGACACGGCCCAGACUCCUACGGGAGGCAGCAGUGGGGAAUUUUGGACAAUGGGGGAAACCCUGAUCCAGCAAUGCCGCGUGUGUGAAGAAGGCCUUCGGGUUGUAAAGCACUUUUGUCCGGAAAGAAAACCUCUGGGUUAAUACCCCGGGGGGAUGACGGUACCGGAAGAAUAAGCACCGGCUAACUACGUGCCAGCAGCCGCGGUAAUACGUAGGGUGCAAGCGUUAAUCGGAAUUACUGGGCGUAAAGCGUGCGCAGGCGGUCCGCUAAGACAGAUGUGAAAUCCCCGGGCUUAACCUGGGAACUGCAUUUGUGACUGGCGGGCUAGAGUAUGGCAGAGGGGGGUAGAAUUCCACGUGUAGCAGUGAAAUGCGUAGAGAUGUGGAGGAAUACCGAUGGCGAAGGCAGCCCCCUGGGCCAAUACUGACGCUCAUGCACGAAAGCGUGGGGAGCAAACAGGAUUAGAUACCCUGGUAGUCCACGCCCUAAACGAUGUCAACUAGUUGUCGGGUCUUCAUUGACUUGGUAACGUAGCUAACGCGUGAAGUGACCGCCUG